rnacentral:rRNA from 1 species
GACGAACGCUGGCGGUGUGCUUAACACAUGCAAGUCGAACGGUAAGGCCCUUUCGGGGGUACACGAGUGGCGAACGGGUGAGUAACACGUGAGUAACCUGCCCUCAUCUCUGGGAUAACAGUCGGAAACGGUUGCUAAUACUGGAUAUGAGCUUGCAAGGCAUCUUGUGGGUUGGAAAGAUUUUUUUUGGUUGGGGAUGGACUCGCGGCCUAUCAGCUUGUUGGUGAGGUAGUGGCCCACCAAGGCUUCGACGGGUAGCCGGCCUGAGAGGGCGACCGGCCACAUUGGGACUGAGAUACGGCCCAAACUCCUACGGGAGGCAGCAGUGGGGAAUAUUGCACAAUGGACGGAAGUCUGAUGCAGCAACGCCGCGUGCGGGAUGACGGCCUUCGGGUUGUAAACCGCUUUCAAUUGUGACGAAGCUUUUUUGUGACGGUAGCAGUAGAAGAAGCACCGGCUAACUACGUG